AUUGAACGCUGGCGGCAGGCUUAACACAUGCAAGUCGAGCGAGCGGCGGCCGGGUGAGUAAUGUCUGGGAAACUGCCUGAUGGAGGGGGAUAACUACUGGAAACGGUAGCUAAUACCGCAUACGAUCAGAUGUGCCCAGAGGGGAUUAGCUAGUAGGGGGGGGAAUGGCUCACCUAGGUGACGAUCCCUAGCUGGUCUGAGAGGAGGACAAGCCACACUGUAACUGAGACACGGUCCAGACUCAUACGGGAGGCAGCAGUGGGGAAUAUGGCACAAUGGGCGCAAGCCUGAUGCAGCCAUGCCGCGGGUGUGAAGAAGGCCUUCGGGUUGUAAAGCACUUUCAGCGAGGAGGCGUUACUCGCAGAAGAAGCACCGGCUAACUCCGUGCCAGCAGCCGCGGUAAUAC
rnacentral:rRNA from 1 species